rnacentral:lncRNA from 1 species
CUGGAAGUCAAAAUCAUCGGACAGCUCAUGGGACACAGGCUCCCGCCCGGGAUAUAUCACCGGCGAAGGGCGAAAGAAGCCACUGUUUCGGCCACUCUGGCCACCACUUCUGGCCACCGGCAAAGCCGAAUGGAGCAAUGGCGCGAAGGAGGAGAAGGAGAAGCAUGCAUGCGCAGCAGCCAUCACUAGCCGACUAGCGUACUUAAAUAAUGUGAUGUGUGUUACAGCUGAUCGACUAGGCAGGCUACCUAAUUAAUUAGGUAACUAACUAGCAUGGAUGAUAUGGGAUGAACAAGAGUACGUAGCAGGCUGCUGCUUCUGCUAUGUCUUGGGAUGGAUGGGGGAUAUGAGCAAUGCAUGCAUGCCCUCCAGAUUUAUAGAGGAGACGAGGUUGAGCAAUGCCGCGUCGAUCCUCCACCGAGUGGCGAGCCAUGUGGAAAAUUUACUACUAAACGUCAUGCAUGCGCUAAUCAAGUUUAGUUUUUCGUCUAGGGCUAGUGCACCAUGCAUUCUUUGUUUGGAGAGUGAACCAUGCAUGCACCACGCACCAUGCACCUUGCUCUGCACUCUGAUGUCUAGUCUGGUCGUCGUUAGGAGACAAAUACCGCGACAUCGUUCGUGCACACGGUUUCUCCCUGCACUGCACCCACAAGAGCCACACACGUAAGUAGUACUACUCUAUAUAGCUAUAUUUGUACGUCCAGCCACGUGAACGUCCAGCCACACACGUAAGUACUCUGACACCUGGACAAAAGGGUCUAGGUAGUAGAGGGGGCCAUCGAAAGGUCUCCAGAUUGACCAGUUUUCCAACGGUUGCUGCCUGUCAAGCUCACGACAAUGUAAGUAUGACAUGCAUGCACAGUAGCUAGCUACUAAUAGAGCGGUCAAAAAACAUUUACCCCACCUCCACACCCCCAAAAUGUAAAGUGUGUGUACAAUACAACGACUGGUACAGCUUCCAUUGUCUCGUGUGUAAGUGACGCUUUCUCGAAUUCUUGGGUUAAAUUGUUACUUUUGGUUGUUACAUACAAACGCACUGUUCAGCAACGUAACAUUGAUGUUGAACGGAAGAUAAGCGUGAAAAAUAGAAAAAGGGACAGAAAGGAUGGAGUCUUCACGGAGACUGGUGGCCCCGCAAUGAGUCAAAGCUCUAGAUUCAGUGUAUCUCUCAGCACCUAAAAGAAAGUUUUUAUUCAACACGAAACUGUAUUUCUAGACAUUUAUCGACCUGAAGUUAGCUUUCUUACAAAUUUAGAAAAACACUCAGUUAUGUCCAUGUCAGCCGCAAAAAAAUUAUACUGUUGAUGCAUCUUUUACGUUAUUUCUCUUAGAAAGCAGCCUAUAGGUAUAUAUAGAAGACAACCUACGUACUACUGAACCACUGCUGCCAUUAUCAACUUUGACCCCCAGCUGAACCAUGCAUGCACAGUAGCUAGCUACUAAUAGAGCGGUCAAAAAACAUUUACCCCCCAGAAUGUAACAUGUGGGUGUACAACGACUGGUACAGCUGGCAUUGUCUCGUGUGUAAGUGGUGCUUUCUCGAAUUCUUGGGUCAAAUUGUUAUUAUUUACUUUUGGUUUGUUACAUAGAAAGAGCACUGUUCAUCCACGUAAAAUUGAUGUUGAACAGAAGAUAGACGGGAAAACUAGAGAAAGGGACAGAAAUGGCGGAGUAUUCGCGGAGACUCAUGACCCAAAUGCGUCAAUGGCCCGGUGAAUCCCUCAGCACUGCUUCAUUACCAACCUACAGAAGGGUCUUUUUUUUAGAAGAGAGGCGUCACGCCUACAAAAGGGAUUGAUCAGCCCACUUAAGUGAAUAUACCACUUCACAACCUAAAAAAUAAAGAUUUUCUUCGACGUGAAUUCAUAUUUCUAGCUAUUUAUCGAUCUGUAUGUAGCUUUCUUACAGUCUUAGAAAAACACUUAAUUAUGUUUAUGCUGUCCAUGUCACCCGCAAAAAUGUUAUACCGUUGAUGCAUCUUUUAACAGUCUUUCUCUUAGAAAGCAGCUUAUAGCUAGAAGACAUCCAGGUGGGUAGUAUUUCACGCUCUCUCAACAUUAUGAAAUAGUGGUACAAAUAUAGCACCAAGUUACACCACAAAAAGUCACCAUCGAUAUCUGGUAGGAGCAUGCCACCAAAACAAAGAGAAUCUCGUAUCAACGAGAGAUUUUCCAUAUCUGAGGAAACAAACAUGUAGAGGAGAGUGACCUUUCACUACGAGGAAACAAACACUAGUAGGUUCAUGCUAUUCGGUACUAACAUUAACGACGAAGAAUAAAUUGUUACUUUUCCACACCUUUUCUACUUAUACGUCAUUGCAUACGUUGGAAGUCAAAAAGAACAUAAGAAAACGUGUAGUAUAAACUGAUAAAAUUGUAUACGUGGCAUAAAACUGCAAACGUAAAAAUAUGACAUAAAAUAUAAAUAUAGACAUUUUUUUGUGGUUUUACAUGGUUAUGACUUGUAUCUUGCAUUUCUGAUGCCGAUUUUUCAUCAGGGGUCAGGAUUUAUGUAACUAUUUGUAUAUUCUAUAUUUCUGAUGCCGAUUUUUCGUCAGGGGUCAGGAUUUAUGUAACUAUUUGUAUAUUCUAAAUGCAAUGACGUACCAAAAUCAUGGUUCGAAAGUAACGUAUUCCGGACCCUAGGCACUGAACAGCAUUUGGUGUGCGUAUGCGUUUGCUGCUAUAUUUUGUAUCAGUUGAUGGUGAUCAUGGGAUAAUGUGGAACUUGACCCUAAGAAACUUGAGUGGCUUACUAGGGAAUUUAUGUCCAGAUUUGGAUUGUGUGCUGUCAGUAGACUUCAUACUGCUGAAAUCUUCUCAUUGUAGCCUGUCACACUUUUAUAAUCUGGCUACAUUUUUUGUGACCAUACAUAUUAAGUUUGUGAUAAGUGCGUUGGUUAUAUACAUUCUUGAUACGGAGAGCGGAGAUGAUAAGAACUUCCUUCUAGAAUUAUAUAUCAUGGGGUCGCUAGCUAGAUGGUCCGAACGGAUAUUUCCCAGAAACCACAAAUGUACACGACAUUGACAUCGAGUGAUGUUUUUACUUUCUAGCUAUUGACAAGCUGGCAAUGCACUUGUGGAUCUCAAGUUGUCGUCUCACGUACAGACAUGAGAGACCGUGUGAUGAAGUAUCGUGACAUAUAUACAUGUAUGGUCGUCAUGCAUGAAGUAUCCGACUAGCUAUGUACUACGUGUGAAAAGUAUUAUUUGGCUGGACACAACAAGAGUCGCUGCCUCAGCUAUGUUGCUGUCUGGAGAGCCUGUUGGUUCAACGAAUUACUUCUGAGAUUGGCUGCAGUUCGGUCAGUGACCUAGCUAUCAUCACGUACAGGCUCACCCGAGUCCCUGGAUUCAUCAAAACUUUUGGCCAUCUCCGCCUAGCUGGGCCCCAAGAUGAAGCUCCGCCCUCUGGGGCCGGCUGGCUCAGCGGCCGGUUGCCAGAGGGCGGCCGUCCCAAGACUGCAGCGCUCCGGGUGGCCGGCUCCUAGCGGCCGCCCUCCAGAGAGGGCGGUAACAGGCAAGCAGCCACCACACGACUACGGGGCGACCGAGCUCCCAUCAAGAGUACAAGACGAAGCAUGGCUACAGUGAGGAACGACGCCUCCCACGCUCGAGACGGGCGUGGCUACAGUGCUCCGUACAGACGGAGAUCUCCGCACGACGGAGCACUGUGCCGUAUCUACCCUGACGUCGCUCCGGGCAGGCGGAGCCCUGUUCACCACGACGGCCUGUCGGUACGGCAGGCCAGAGGCGGGCCCUAUCGGGCAGUGACCCCAGGGAAGACGGCGGAAGCUCAACCAGGCGGAUUAGAGAGGGGCCAGCCUCCAGCAGGCGGCCGUCCCUUGUCCCGAGACGAGCACGCCAUUAAGCUGAUAAGACCAGGUGUGGCUACAGUGUCCUCCCACCAGGCGGCGGGACUGUAGCCACGCUAGGAUGACCAAGCCCCCACCGCCAACGACACGGCUACAGCGAGCAGCCGCCAAUCAGUCGGUGGGGCCCACCAGGCGGCGGGCCCCAGCGGUCGACGGAGAAGCCGGAGGCUGGAGACACUGACAGCCGGGCCCAGCGGCCGGCGAGGUUACCAUUGUACCCCUGGGGGGUAGGCCUAUAUAAACCCCCCAGGCCACCCAUGCAAAGGGUUCCCACACCAUUAGAACUAGCCACCCCCUAGUGCAGGAAGAGAGCUAGCCUUGCCACCUUCUGCGUCUAGCAUACAGCUCGAGGAGCACCAUUGUAUCACUUGUGCCUUAGUGAUCAUGCGGAGACCUCGCAGAGUAGGACUAGGGGUGUUAUCUCCUAGGAGAGCCCCGAACCUGGGUAAAGUACGCCGGCGUUCGUGUCUACGCCUUAUCCCGCUUCCAGGCACCGGCGACGUUCUACUCGCUUCCACCAUGAUAAGCCAUCCAUUGGCAUAUGUCGCACCCAACCCCCGACACCUCAACCACUUCGAGAAAAUUAUGCACGCCCUUAAUGUACUCGGAGGUGUGUCUAUCACCAUACAUCCAUUGCCGGUUCAUCUGCGUGCAUUAUAUAUAAUUAUGUGUGUCAAAAGUAAGAAAAUCAGACAAAUAUCUACCUAAAGUAAGAAAAUCAGACAAGUAUCAGAAAGAAGAUAAGAACAAGAGACUCCCCACUGUGGUGCCGGCGACGAGAUCGGCGCGGGCGAUCAACGGCGGUGAAAACGGGGACGGGGCGUGACGAACCGCUAAAUCUAGACAAAUCUCGAAAAAAAUGAAGCUCCGAGGUCGAUCUUCGAGAGGAGAAAGCUUAACUAGUGUGGCUCGGGCAUUUCAUCGAACACCUCAUGUGCAUAGGAGGUGAACUAGAGCACCAAAAUGCCCUCUCAUCGCCGGAUUGAAAAAACAUAGCACUGGAGUGCUCUGCCGCGGCGGUGGGUAUAUAUAGGCAAGUUAUUUGUCCUGGUUCAUGGCAUGAACCGGGACUAAAGCACCCCCUUCUGUCCCGGUUCAAGCCAUGAACCGGGACCAAUGGUUGUGGGCCAGGAGCGAGGACCAUUGGUCCCGGUUCGUGGCUUGAACCGGGACAAAUGGUUCCACACGAACCGGGACCAAUACCCACGAGGCCCCGGCCGUCCCCCUGGGCUCACGAACCGGGUCUAAUACCCCCCAUGGGUCCGAACGGUAGCCUUGUUUUCUACUAGUGUUAGUACAAAGUUAAUAGAAAGUUGGGUCAUCUAUUUCGAAACGGAGGGACUAGUAGACUUUCCACUGAGCUGAUACCGCUUUUAUGAUUGAUAUUCGUUCAAGUUAUUUCAAUAUCUAGUUUAGAAGAAUUUGAAUUCAAAAUUCAAUUGAAUUUGUUCAAAAUAUGUUUGGUAUUUCUCGGUAACCGUGGUAAUCGAGAGUAUUGCCCCCCACGAGAAAAUUUGUCCAUUCGGAAUCCAAAACCUUGGUUAUGACUUGUAUCUUGCGUUUCUGAUGCUGAUUUUUCGUUGUGAGUCUGCUUGUAUGUAAAUAUUUGUAUAUUCGAAAUGCAAGGACAUAAUAAAACCAUGGUUUGAAAAUAACUUAAUCUACACCCUACACUGUGAAAUACAUUUUGCGUGCAUGUGUGUUUGCUACUAUUCUGUAUCAGUUGACACAUUGCCCCAAGAAACUCAAGUGGCUUACUAGGGAAUUUAUGUUCUGGUUUGGGUUCCGUGCUGCCAGUGGACUUCAUACUGCUAUAUCUUCUCAGUGUAGCCUGCCCCACUUCUAUAAUCUGGUUACAUUUGUUGUGACCGUACGUAUUAAGUUUUGUGAUAAGUGCGUUGGUUAUAUAUAUAUGCAUCCUUGAUACGGAGAGCGGAGACGAAAAGAACUUCCUUCUAGAGAAACAUAUAUAUCAUGGGGUCGCUAUCUAGAUGGUCCGAAGGGAUAUUUCCCGGAAAACACAAAUGUUCUGCAUGACAUUGACAUCCAAUGAUAUUUUUACUUUUUAGCUAUUCGCUAGCUGGCACUGCACUUGUGGAUCUCGUACAUUUAUUCGAUGGUUGUCGUCUCACGUACAGACAUGAGAGACCGUGUGUGGUGAAGUAUCGUGAUAUAUAUACAUGUAUGGUCGUCAUGCAUGAAGUAUGCGACUAGCUAUGUACUACGUGUGAAAAGUAUUAUUUGGCUGGACACAACAAGAGACGCUGCCUCAGCUAUGUUGCUGUCUGGAGAGCCUGUUGGUUCAACGAAUUACUUCUGAGAUUGGCUGCAGUUCGGUCAGUGACCUAGCUAUCAUCCCUUAGACUGGCUGGAGUGGAGCCAUAUUCAAGCUUACUCUAGAAGCAAAAGCGCAUUUCGCUGCACCGUCUGUGUUCUGAUUGAUUGUACACUUGUUUUACUUUGGGCCUCUGAAUCUCCUCUGGUUUCACCUUUGUGAGUCAAAGAAAUUUCCUGUGGCGAAUUUAUAUUGCAUGAGAGAGUUUUUCUAGUGCACCAUCCAUUCUUUGUUUGGAGAGUGAACCAUGCAUGCAUAAACCUGGGAAUAGUUUGUAAUCCAAACUAAACCCAGGCCAACCAAUACAUGUAUAAGUCCAGCGAUCCAUCCAAACCAGACCAAAUUGCAAAUGCUACAAUCCAAACCAAUCCAAACUGAAUGUAUUUUCAAGCCAAAUCCAUCCAGACCUUUCUCUACGUUUAAUUUGAACCCAAAGUUUCAAACCAUGGGUCAGUCAACAACAACUGGAACAACCCCAAACUUAACCUGUAUGUACAGAACUACGAAAGGUGUGAGGCUCCUACCAACGGCGGCUAGCUUGGUGUCAGGAGCUUCAGUAUACGUGUGCGUGCACCGUAAGAGCAGAUGGCGGCGCCGGCACGGUGGCCCAUGGCCGGCUGCAGGACCUAUCCGGACGUGUGCAAGACCCUUUGGCUUCCAGAUUCUCAUCGGCUUCGUGACCAUCACCUUCGUCGGCCACAUCGGCAAGGUCGAGCUCACAACCAUCUUCAUGGUGACAGCGUCGUCGAAGGCCUCGUCUUUGAGUUCCUCGUGUUCUGCAUGGAGUUGACUAUUGUCACCAGAGAUCUCGGUGGUGGCGAGGUGGUACGUGCGCUCAUGUCACUCAUCUCAGGCGGCGGUUGCACCUAAACCAAGCGUUGGUCUCACAUUACGCUGACGGUGUGUGGUUAAACGGUCGCUAGACUGGUUUUUAUCCGUGGACUAAAACGGUCUGAGACCAAUUUAUCUCUGUCCAGACCAAACCAACCCAAUCUAUUAAUUACAAAAGUCCACACCAAACUAAAUUACGAUAGAGGCUCAAUCCAUUUCAACCGAACCAAAGCAGCCCAACAGGUAAACCAAAUUGGAACUAUGGUUCGAGACCAAACUAUUCUCAGGUUUAUGCAUGCACCAUGCACCUUGCUCUGAAGACAGAACUCUGAUGUCUAGGUUUCUCCAUGCACUGCACCCACAACUGGCAAGAGCCACACACGUAAGUACUCUAUAUACCUAUAUUUGUACGUCCUGCCAUGUGAACGUCAAGAUCUGACACCUGGAGAAAUUAAAAGGCCAGCGAAAAGUUUGCCGAUUGACCAGUUUUCAAUCGGUUGCUGCCUGUCAAGCUCACGACAAUGUACGCAUGCCACAUAUGUAACCUACUUAUACUGAACCACUGCCGGCAUUACCAACGUGACCCCCAGCUGAACUAUGCAUGCAUAUGUAGUAGCUAGCUACUAAUAAAGCGGUCAAAAACCAUUUACCCCCCUCCCCAAAUGUAAUACUCCCUCCAUUCAUUUUUACUCCACGUAUAAGAUUUUUGUCGAGUCAAACUUUUGAAACUUUGACCAAAUUUGUAUAAAAAUAUAUCAACAUCUACAAUAUCAAAAUAUACAUAAUAUGAAACUACAUUUCAUAAUGAAUCUAAAAAUAUUCCUUUGGCAUUGUAAAUAUUUGAUCCUUUUUUCUAUAAGUUUGGUCAAACUAGAGAUGCUUUAACUUCAGACAAAAGUUAUAUGCAGACUAAAAAAAAGGAGGAAGUAUUUGUGUACAACGACUGGUACAGCUGGCAUUGUCUUGUGUUUAAGUGGCGUUUUCUGGAAUUCUUGGGUCAAAUUGUCAUUAUUUACUUACUUUUGGUUUGUUACAUACAUAGAGUACUGUUCAUCCACGUAAGAUUGAUGUUGUACGGAAGAUAGACCUGAAAAAUAGAAAAAGGGACAGAAAGGAUGGAGUCUUCACGGAAACUGGUGGCUUGGCAACGAGUCAAAGCUCUAGAUCCAGUGUAUCCCUCCGCACUGCUUCAUUACUAGCAACCUACAGAAGGGACUGGUCAGGCUACCUAAGUGAAUAUAUACCAUUUCGCAACCUAAAAAAUAGUUUUUAUUCAACACGAAAUUGUAUUUCUAGCCAUUUAUCGACCUGAAGGUAGCUUUCGUACAUAUUUAAAAAAACACUCAGUUAUGUCCAUGUCACCCGCAAAAAAAUUAUACUGUUGAUGCAUCUUCUCUAUUCUUAUAAAAAAUUAAGUUGGUGAUAAGGGUGUGCCUACCAUCUUGCAAUAUAGACCGUCCGAUCUAUAUCUUACCCGCACCUCUCUCCACAUUUGCAGAUACUUCCCUCGUUCAUCCUUAUCUCUCACAACCUCAUUAUUGAGCAAUUAAAAAAGAAAGCAUCUGAAACAAUCUGGCAUGGCGGCCGCUGCCGGCGUCGUCCAUCCCCAUGCCUCCGCUCAGUCCGACGACCAAUCACCACCAGGCCCCACUCUUCAUCACCUUAUCUCUUCUCUUUCUUGAGAUAUCAUUAGUUUUACACAUGAGAUUAUUCUCACAUAGGACAAGCACAACAGGUGUUUUGUAAAAAAAGCAUCUUCAUGUCCCAUUCAAUGCACGAGCAUCUUGCUAGUUUACAUUAUUUCUCUUAGCAAGCAGCCUAUAUAUAAAAGACAACCUACGUGCUAAACCACUGGUGCCAUUACCAACUUUGACCCCCAGCUGAACCAUGCACGCAAGUGGCAAGCCACUAAUAGAGCGGUCAAAAAACAUUUACCCCCGCCCCCCCUCCCCAAAUGUAACGUGUGUGUACAACGACUGGUACAGCUGGCAUUGUCUCGUGUGUAAGUGGCGCUUUCUGGAAUUCUUGGGUCAAAUUGUUAUCAUUUACUUUUGGUUUGUUACAUACAAGAGCACUGUUCAGCAACGUAAGAUUGCUGUUGAACAGGAGAUAGGAAUAAAACAUACAACUCAAACCAAUCACGAUCAUCAAUCAACCCAUAUGAUAAAACGAAUCUAAUCAAACAUCAUAGGAUGGUCAUACAUCAUUGGGUAAUAAUAUAUAGCAUGAAGUGAUACGUCUCGAACUUAUCUAUAAUUUUUGAUUGUUCCAUGCUAUUAUAGUAUCAAUCUUGGAUGUUUAUUAUGCAAUUAUAUGUAACUAUAUCAUUUUUUGGGACUAACAUAUAAACCUAGUGCCCAGUGCCAAUUGCAAUUUUUUUUCAUGUUUUUAGCUUUUCAGGAAAUCAAUAUUAAAAAGAGUCCAAAUGGAGAAUAUUUUUUUUUGAUUAUGGACCAGAGGGGACCCUAAAAGCUUCGGGAGAAGACUUGACAAGCCACGAGGGUGCGACAAGCUUGGGAGGCGCCCCCAGGCUUGUGGGCCCCUCGUGGCACCUCUUAGCCUAAUUCUAGCACUAUAAAUUCUGAAAUAUCCCCCCUGCAUCAAAGAGUCACCCGAAAUACCUUUUCCGCCGCCGCAAGUAUCGGUUCUCGCGAGAUCCCAUCUAGAGGCCAUCCCCGGGCACUCUGCCGGAGGGGGGAUCGAUCACAGAGGGGCUCUACAUCAACCUUGCCGCUAUUCCGAUGAUGUGUGAGUAGUUAAUCACAGACCUACGGGUCCAUAGCUAGUAGCUAGAUGGCUUCUUCUCUCUCUUUGAUCUUCAAUACAAUGUUCACAUUGAUGUUCUUAGAGAUCUAUUCGAUGUAAUCACUUUUUAUGGUGUGUUUGUUGAGAUCGAAUGAAUUGUGAGUUUAUGAUCAGAUUAUCUACAAGUAUUAUUUGAGUCUUCUCUAAACACUUUUAUGCAUGAUUAUUGUACCUUUAUAUUUCUCUCCGAUCUAUUGAUUUGAUUUUGCCAACUAGAUUGAUUUUUCUUGCAAUGGGAGAGGUGGUUUGCAAUGGGUUCGAUCUUGCGGUGCUCAAUCCCAAUCCCCAUCUCCAAAUGUAACAUGUGUGUACAACCACUAGUACAGCUGGCAUUGUCUCGUGCGUAAGUGGCGCUUUCUGGAAUUCUUGGGUCAAAUUGUUAUUAUUUACUUUUGGUUUGUUACAUACAAGAGCAAUGUUCAGCAACGUAAGAUUGAUGUUGAACGGAAGAUAUACAGAAAAAAUUGGAAAAGGGACAGAAAGGGUGGACUCCUCGUGGAGACUCAUGACUCCACAAUGAGUCAAUGGCUCAAUGCGCUUGAUCCAGUGGAUCCCUCAUCACUGUUUCAUUACCAACCUACGGAAGGUUCUUUUUUCAGAAGAGAGGCGUCACACGUACAGAAGGGAUUGAUCAGCUCACUUAAGUGAAUAUACCAUUUUGCAACCUAAAAAACAAGUUUUCCGUCAACGCAGAUUUUUAUUUCUAGCUAUUUAUCGGUCUGCAUGUAACUUUCUUACAGAUUUAGAAAAACACUCAGUUAUGUUUAGGCUGUCCAUGUCACUCGCAAAAAAAUUAUACUGUCGAUGCACCUUUUGUGGUCUUUCUUGUAGAAAGCAGCCUAUAGAUAGAAGACAUCCACGUGGGUAGUAUUUCAGCUCUCUCGGCAUUAUGAAAUGGUGGCACAAAUAUAGCAUCAAGUUACACGACAAAAAGUUCCCAUCGAUAUCUCAUAAGAGCUUGCCACCAAAAGAAAGAGAAUCCCGUAUCAAUUAGAGAUUUUCCAUAUCCGAGGAAAUAAACAUAGAGAGUGACCUUUUACUAUGAGGAAGCAGACAGCAGUAUGUUCAUGCUAUUCGGUACUAACAUUAACGGCGAGGAAUUAAUUGUUACUUUUCCACACCCUUUCUACUAAUACGUCAUUGCAUACGUUGGAAGUCAAAAAGAACAAAAGAAAAUGCAUUACUAUACACUAAUAAAAUUGUAUACGCAUCCUAAAAUCACAAACGUAAAAAGACAACACAUAAAAUGUAAAUAAUGACAUUUUUUGGUAUGGUUUACAUGGUUAUGACCAAGGUUUUGGGUACUGCCAAAAAAUCUGGAUACCGGGCGGUAUGCGCGUUUCUCGACGCUCCACAAGAAAUACCCAUCCCAAGCAAAAAAGAUAAAAAAUACAUUUUUUAAAAUUUAGUAAAACACUCUACCUCGCAGUUACAUCAACAUUCUUAGUUGUGGUGUCGUGGUAACCUACUCUUUUGUGCCUCGAGAGGUAGCUGGUUGGAGUUGCCUUCUUGCACUUUUUUUUGUUCAUUUCUCAGAACUGGUAAGUAAGAAAAGUAAAAAUAAUAAUGACCCAAAGAGUCGUACUCGCAACCUCAAACCGCUUAGCACGCACUCCCUCCGUUCCAAAAUAGAUGACUCAACUUUGUACUAACUUUACACUAGUAGAAAACAGGCAUUUGUCCCGGUUCGUAAGGGCCUUUUGUCCCGGUUUAAGAACUGGGACAAAAAGGUCGGUACUAAUGCCCUCCCCCUUUAGUCCCGGUUCUUACACGAACCGGGACAGAUGGGCCUCCACGUGGCCACUGCGGGCAGCCCAGACAAGGGGGCCUUUGGUCCCGGUUGGUGACAUGAACCGGGACCAAAAGGCUUCCACGCGUCAGCAGCUGGCUGGAGCUGAGGUUUUUCUUUUUUUAAAAAAAAAAGUGGCUGGUUUAGGGGUUUUGGGGUUAAUUUAGGUUGUUAUUAGAUAGCUAAUAGGGAGAAGUGUCCUCUCUUAUAUCUUCGUCCUUGGUUUACCAACGCUACUGCUAUGUUCAUUUCACCCGCUGAUAUAUAAUAACUCAUGCUCGCAUCAUACAUCAUCAUAUAUAAUAACAAGUCCUACUAAUCAUGCAUCAUCAUACAACUUCUACUUAGUAUUAAUACUAAGUCAUACGAUCAUCAUCCUCAUAGUCAUCGAACCCAACCCUACAUAAUUGUUCUUAGCACAUGAUCAUCAGUGUCAGAUAGGACCUAAACACCCUUAAGGUAAAAUAGCAUAAACAAUAUAGACCCUGACUCUCCAUUAUGGAGAAUGGGGAUCAUCCUAUCUCCAAUUAUUGCGCUUCACUUCCUUUUGCUUCCAAGAAGCUCCUUACGACUGUCCAUACAUUUUUUCCAUUCUUUGAUUGUCAUGUCUCCACUUCUUUUAGAAAUCCGGUAUGGACAGUUGAGAUUCGUAGGAUGACCUGGUUGUAUGUUCAAAACAUCAAGGCGACCGUGCACAUACAUCAGAUGAGGCACACAAUCAUUCGGGAUUAUCUGUUAAAAAACAUAGUAAUAACUUCAUAGUUAGCAAUGAUGUACUAAUUUUAGAAGUAUGUAAAAAGAUGCACGAAUGUCGUAAUAGUAAAAAAUCUUUCCAGGGUAUCUCCAUGGUAGUUACCGUAGUUCACACGUGCACUAGUGGCACGUAUUGACCAUAAUGUUGAGGAGUUCGAUUGUAGAUAUUGUAAUUCUCAAGAUCAGUACAAAAUGCGAUCAGAUGAUUUUUCUCCUUAUAAGUUAAUUCAGAGCCAUCGGUGUAGUGGGUUUUGUCUACCAUCUUCCGCACAUUCUUUGAAGAAUGAAAAUAAGCUGUCAAUGGAAAUAAGCUAUCAACUAUUUCGAAAUAAACAAUAUAAAUUACUUAAAAACUAUGUUUGAGAAGCUCACAUAGGGGGAGAAUUGGAAGUGUAUCCACAAGAACCCAAAUGUCCAUAUUGUCUUGCUCGAUUGUAGGAUCACCAAGAUCAAUGAUGACAAGCAUACCCUCAUCAAAACCAUACAUCUUGCAAAGUGCUUCUCAAUUUUUGCAACCAAAAUGGGUUACACUCUCAGCAUUGUACAACUUUACUUCAAAAUCCACACCAUGAUGGGUCCUUAGGUGAAUUUUUUGGUUUCCAUACUUUCAUGGUCUUCAAAACCCAUCCUCUCCAAGACAUAUCGUCUUGCAUAGCAUGGGAUAAGCUAGUCGAAUUGGAAAAGAUGAAAAAUACACGUUUAAAUAGUUGAAGUCGUGCUUAAUUACGAAAAAAACUAUUGUCGUCGUUGCGUAUCGUAUGAACAUCGAAGGCCUCCUCGAGCCUAAUGCUGAAGCGCCGAUCUUCGUCUAGCUCAAGGAACCUGUCGCACAUACCUCGGUCGUCGUGGCACUAGUCGCACUCCCCCGAGCGAUUUUCGUCGUCCGAGUACGACAUUUCCGGCCUAUGUUCAUGAUUCAAAUAUUAAACUUGUACAAUUAAAUAUAUGUACUAAAAAACCUAAAUUAGAUCAUUAUUAUUAUUAUCGGGUUGACUAUCGGGAUUAUUACACCAAAUUGUCUAGCACACGGGAAUGAAGGAGAAGCUACCCCCACGACGGCGUGGAUGAUGGAGGGGGCUCCUAGAUUUCUGCAUAGAGUGCUCCUCAAUUUUAGCAUUCAAAGUAGGAGUACUUUUCCAAUAUGAGCAUUCAAUAAGCAAAACCAAAUCGUAAAAAAAAACAGUAUUCCAAUUAGCAUGCAUUCAAUUAUAACCAAAAGUACAUCAUCUCUUGUGUCCGUACAUCGUCAAAUAUUAUCACUAAUACUCCUCGAAUAAUAUCAUACAUAUAGCAUCACUAAUACAACUAGAACCGUAGCGCCCGACGGGUAUCGUCGCGGGCGGUGGACAUCCAAAGAUAAGGAACCAUCACAUGAUCAUAACUCCAGUGAGAUCCCUGAAGAACCUGCCAGGUAUUGUCGAACCUGCCCUCCAACGCAACCAUAUAGCGACGGACGUGCUCGUCCUCCUCGCUGACACGGUGACGUAUCACCUCCACGGUGUCCGGAAGCCUCGGCACCGUCACUGGCCCACGCGACCGCCACCAAAUAAGGAUCGGGUCAACAACGGGCUGGCUCCUCACCAACCUACGUCCCUCGGAAGGUAGCACCUCCCAAUACCUGCCCGACGGAGCCCAGUCCUGGACAUGGCCCUGAUCAAGCAGGCCUCCACCGCCGAGUCGACGACGAGGAAGCGGGAUAGGCAUCGUCGACGUCGAUGCGGGAACUACUUCUAUAUAUAAUAAAAUAAAGUAGUUUUAUUAAUUAAAUCAACUAGUUCAACUACUAAGCACUUACUAUAAAUAAAUAAAGUAGUACUUACUAAAAAUAAACUACUUCUAUAUAUAGUAAAAUAAAGUAGUUUAUUAAAUCAACUAGCUAGUUCAACUAUAUAUUAAGCACUUACUAUAAAUAAAAUAAAGUAGUACUUACUAAAAAUAAACUAGUUUAACUAUAGUUCUAUUAUUUUUCUAACUAAUUAUAUUAAACACUUUCUCUUCUUAUUUUCCUUUUUCCUCUAUUCUCAAUAUGAACAUAUUCAUAAAUGACUUUGAUCAUGCACAAUUUCCUAUACAUACAAAAUAUGAACAUAUACAUAAAUUGACAAAAAAAUUCUGUGAACAAAAUAAUCAUUAAAAUUCUAUGAACAAAAUUACAACAGAAAAAAAUCAUAAAAAUUCUAUGAACAGAAAAAAUCAUAAAAAAUUGACAUAUUCGAUCUUUGCAUGUAUAUGAACAUACAAACAUGCAUAUUCAACAAUAAUAUCACCAAAAAAAUCUAUUAAUAGAAAAAUCUACCACAAUAUUUACAAAUUACACAAUAUGAAAAAAAUCUAACCCAAAAAUCUAUGAACUACACAUCUAAAUUACUACACAUCUAACAAAAAAAUCUAACAAAAUGUAACUCAAUUAACUACACAUCUAAAUUAUACUACACAUCCAAAUUAACUACUACAUCAAAUUAAAUUAGCAAAAAAUUUGCUCACGGGGUGGCGACGGCAUGAGGGGCGCGGCGAGGGCGAGGGCGACGGCGACGGCCACGGUGCGUGAGGGGCGGCGCGGUGACGGUUGACGGUGAGGGGCGGCGCGGGGCGGGGUGGCGACAAGCAGGGGCCGACGGUGUNNNNNNNNNNNNNNNNNNNNNNNNNNNNNNNNNNNNNNNNNNNNNNNNNNNNNNNNNNNNNNNNNNNNNNNNNNNNNNNNNNNNNNNNNNNNNNNNNNNNNNNNNNNNNNNNNNNNNNNNNNNNNNNNNNNNNNNNNNNNNNNNNNNNNNNNNNNNNNNNNNNNNNNNNNNNNNNNNNNNNNNNNNNNNNNNNNNNNNNNNNNNNNNNNNNNNNNNNNNNNNNNNNNNNNNNNNNNNNNNNNNNNNNNNNNNNNNNNNNNNNNNNNNNNNNNNNNNNNNNNNNNNNNNNNNNNNNNNNNNNNNNNNNNNNNNNNNNNNNNNNNNNNNNNNNNNNNNNNNNNNNNNNNNNNNNNNNNNNNNNNNNNNNNNNNNNNNNNNNNNNNNNNNNNNNNNNNNNNNNNNNNNNNNNNNNNNNNNNNCGACGGCGUCGGGGCGGCGCGGGACGGCGCGGGGCGACAACGGCGACGGCGAGGCGGAGAUGGGCAGCUUGGCGGCGUCGGGGUGGGGAAGAACGAAACUGAACGAAAUUUUGACGAGUGCCAGUUAUAUAGACGACGCAUUGGUCCCGGUUCAUGAGACAAACCGGGACUAAUGCGACCUUUAGUCCCGGUUGGUGCCACCAACCGGGACCAAAGGCCUCUUUUCAGCAGCCCAAAGGGCGGGAAGCAGAGGCCUUUGGUCCAGGUUGGUGGCACCAAUCGGGACUAAAGGUGGGGCAUUGGUACCGGUUUGUGGCACCGACCGGGACCAAUGCAACCCUUUAGUCCUGGUUUGUGCCACCAACCGGGACUAAAGGUCUUGUGCUGCCCGCGUCGCGGCACGAAAGUUUGGUCCCACCUCGCUAGCUGAGGGAGCUCGAGAGUGGUUUAUAAGCCCCAGUCCCGCUGCCCUCUCGAGCUCCUCUCAAAUGCAGGCUUACGGGACUAAACGCACUAUAUGUGCCUGUGGGCCUAUUGGGCCUACUGCGGGCCUGAAUCCUGGCCCAUUGUUGGGUUUCUAGUCGUAUUCAGGCCUGGUGGCCCUUUAGGUGGCACUUUUUUAUUUUUUUUGUUUUAUUUUUUGCUUUGAAUUAUUUAUUUUCUUUUGAUUUUUGCUUUAUUUUUUUAUUCUUUUUUCUUUUAGCUCAGAAUAAUUAUAAUCUUUCUGUUACUCCAUUAGUUUCCAAAUUUGAAUAAUUAUAAUCUUUAUGCAACUAAAAAUAUAUUUGGAGUGAUUCUUUUUCCUUCUAUCUAAUAUUACUACGUUUUAUCAUUAUAUUGAAAAACAGAUUUUGUUAGUUUAGUUUCUAUCAAAAAAAUCUUUACGACAAUUCUUUUUGCUACUAAAGUUUCUAACAAAAAAUUCUUUAUGAUAAUUAUUUCUGCUUUUCAUGUUUUGAACAGAAAAUACUUUGAUAAUUUUAGUUGCAUAAAUUUUAUAUAAUUUUAGUUUAAAAAAUACUAGAGGUUUAUAAAAGCUUUUUAGUUGAUUCCUUUUGCUAUUAGAGUUUUAUAAAAGCAUUUACUGGUUUUUUUAGCUAUAAGACCUUGAAAUUGAAAAGCAUUUCAAAUGAACUCUGAAAAGGUUGAAAGUUGGCGUGAUAUCAUCAUUUCACCCACAUAGCAUGUGCUAAAAAGUUGAGAGGGUUAUGGAAAAACAGGAUACACUUCGUGUACAAAAUUGACAAUCUCUUUCGAAGUAUCGGGGUUUCAGACGAAAACUCAUCUGUUACACAGGGAUUUCAUUUUUUUAAACUUAUUUGAACUCCUGACUUUUUGUGUGUUCAAAAUGCACCAUUCAAAGCCACAUCAUCAAUUUUCAACCCUUCUGACUUCAUUUGUUAUUUUUCAUGCAUUUAUUGAUUAUUUUGAGCUAUAAGACCCUGAAAUUUAAAAGCAUUUCAAAUGAACUCUGAAAAGGUUGGAAGUUGGUAUGGUAUCAUCAUUUCAUCCACAUAGCAUGUGCAAGAAAGUUGAGAGGGUUACGGCAAAAACUGGAUGCACUUCAUGCAUAAAACGGACAAUCUCUUUCGAAGUAUCAGGAUUUCAUACGGAAACUUGUCUGUUACAAUAGGCAUUUCAAAUGAACUAUGAAAAGGUUGAAAGUUGGCAUGGUAUCAUCAUAAUAGUUGUGGAGAAAGUCUUCACUUUUUCUUCGCUUGUCUCCUUUCCUUAUUGCGCCGUAACCAUGGAUAAUCUUCAUCAUUUAUCAGGAUGCUUGGGUCAGCCUUGACUUUGAAGGAAGGAAUUUCAUGAAACUUUUCAUAAUCUUCGGACAUGUCUGUCUUGCCCUCCACUCCCACGAUGUCCCUUUUUCCUGAAAGAACUAUGUGGCGCUUUGGCUCAUCAUAUGAUGUAUUCGCUUCCUUAUUUUUUCUUUUGGUUUGGUAGACGUGUCCUUCACAUAGAUAACCUGUGCCAAAUCAUUUGCUAGGACGAACGGUUCGUCAGUGUACCCAAGAUUGUGCAGAUCCACUGUUGUCAUCCCGUACUAUGGGUCUACUUGUACCCCGCCUCCUGACAGAUUGACCCAGUUGCAUUUAAACAAAGGGACCUUAAAAUCUACUCCGUAGUCAAGUUCCCAUAUGUCCACUAUGUAACCAUAAUAUGUAACCUUUCCUCUCUCGGUGGCUGUAUCAAAGCGGACACCACUGUUUUGGUUGGUGCUCUUUUGAUCUUGGACGAUCGUGUAAAAUGUAUUCCCAUUUAUCUCGUAUCCUUUCCAAAUCAUUACAGUCGAAGAUGGUCCCCUGGACAACAAGUACAACUCCUCACAAACAGUGUUUUCACUUCUGAGACGUGUUUCCAACCAACUGCUAAAAGUCCGGAUGUGUUCACAUGUAAUCCAGUCGUCGCACUGCUCCGGGUGUUUGGAGCACAGACUGUUCUUGUGUUCAUCGGCAUAAGGGGUCACCAAGGUAGAGUUCUGUAGAACUGUGUAGUGUGCUUGAGACCAACAAUAUCCGUCCCUGCAUAUUAUUGUCUCCCCUCCAAGCGUGCCUUUUCCAGUCAAUCUCCCCUCAUACCACGAUUUAGGGAGACCUAUCUUCUUAAGCCCAGGAAUGAAGUCAACACAAAACCCAAUGACAUCCUCUGUUUGAUGGCCCAUGGAGAUGCUUCCUUCUUGCCUAGCGCGGUUACGGACAUAUUUCUUUAGGAAUCCCAUGAACCUCUCAAAGGGGUACAUAUUGUGUAGAAAUACGGCCCCCAGAAUAACAAUCUCGUCAACUUCAGGGUUAGCUUGUCCAGUGUGAAAUCGGGGCACGAGGCUUUGUCUCCUCUAGUAUAGCAUGUGGGAGAGGACGAUGAGACCCCGCCGUGGAUUGGAAGCUGCAAGGGUUGGGUGCUCCUAUGGCCGAAUAAUCUUAUUCAUCUGGAGCCGGCCGAGAACACAACAAUAACCACACAUCAACAAGCAUGUGCGGAGACCACCACCCCGCCUACGCAAUUACCAGCUCUUGUAGUGCUGGGUGAGAGCGGCAGAUGAUGUGAUGAAGGGGGUGCAAUAGUACUGGCUGAUGUAAUCGGUCCUGUAGAACAGAGAAUGGAUGAUGAGACGGAGGUCGACCCUAUGGGUUUCCUCAAUACAAACGUGUAUGACUGUGACGUAGAUAUGAUGAGUCAACCAUAUGACGAAUCGGGCUAUCAGCAUGCUAAUGAGGAUAUGGAUGAUAUGCCCGGGCAAGAAGGUCAUUGGAAGGAUUGCAAAAAGUCUCUCUUCAUGAAUUCCUCAUAGGACACGCCUGAAGAUGCCGCGUCAACACAGGCUCAACUAGCCGGGGGUCGUACAGUGCUUAGCCCGGGAACCCUGGGGCAGGGGUUAAGGAAGGGUCUGGAAGGUGUGCCCAAGAAAAAGGAGAGAAAGAGAUCGGGGAAGAUAACUGCCUCCAAACAAGCCAGAGCACAUAGCAGCCAGACGAUGGAUUCUGAAGAGCGUGUACCCGUGAAAGGUGCGGCCAUGUUCCAUCUCACGGGUGAGCCGAUGCUACCGCCGAAACUGCUGGAGGCACUACCAGGGGAUCUCAGGAGACUGCACGACCAUGUGCUGUCGACUGAGAAAAGCCUACUAGCCUCAAAGGAUCCAGGAUAUCCGACAUGCGCGGCUCGUGUGCCUGAGGGGAAGUGCUACGUCGAGACACGGCCCACGGAGGUGUUCUUCCUGCGGUUUGACCAUAUCUUUGAGAUGUUUCUAACAAGGCGGCUCGAUUUUACAAUUGUCCGCCUUUUUGUUCUACAUAUGAGCUCCAUCAUGAAAAGUGAAGAAGUCUCACAAAUCUGUGUGGCAGAUCCGUACUACAUGCAUGAGUCUUUCUUGAGUCUCGGCGACUUUGAGCGUGAAACUGCUAGGGACUACCUCCAAAACUUCAUGGUACAGAAUAAGGAUCGGGAAAUUGUCUUCGUGCCUUAUCAUCCAAAGUAAGUCAGUUUCGGACAACCCUUUCGUACAUUUCAAUCAUUCCUUCUCGCUCAUACGGAGAAUAAUUUGAGGUGUCUUUUCCCCACAGCAACGGGCGCGCCGUCCUUAUCGUUCUUUACCCGCAAGUCUCCCAUGCCGUGUAUUUUGACCCUUCCGGAGACUACGAGAAAAAGGACUACACCCACAUAAUGAAUAUUCUAGAUGAUGCUCUCCAAGGCUUCAACAUUAGAGGUGGCCACAUGCAGAUCAUGAAACAAAGGAACAAGAAGAUGGGUUUCGCACAUAAAACUAACUUCUCCUGCAUCCAUGUCCCAAAACCAAGAAAGAAGGAUGGAUUCUACAUCGUCCAUCUCAUGAUUCAGUUCAACACGGAUCACCAAAAGCUUCGCAUGACAAGUAGAAAUGAUGAUCAUAUCCACAAGUGGCUAGAAUCUCAUGGAGAAGCGGAUUAUAAACUUAGAGAUGACUUCUUUCGCAUCCAAAGGGACAUUGCGACGAUCAUCAUGAAAGAAGUCAUCGAUGAGAAGGGGAUGUUCCACCACGGCCCUAUAUCGCGAGCUGACGUCCAAACUCGCAUAGGCAUGCAACGUCUAGAUCUCAUGCCGUUCAAGAACCUAGGGUCCAUCCUCGAUGAUAUGGAAGGAUGGAACUUCUAGUGAUUUAUGAUGCCGACUAUGAUGAUAUGUGUCGGUUGAACUUGUAUAUUUUUUGUAGCGAUGAAACUUUGUGAUGUCUACGGUCCCUGCCGAACUUGCGUAACGCUACUUUGUUAGUUUGCGUACGAUGACCUGCGUACCUCUAUUUAAUUAGUUUGCGUACUGUAUGUUGCAUCUAGUUGCUAACCCUUUCUUUUUCGUGUUGCUCUAGUAUAUUUUGUUGCAUAUGAUUGUACAUCCUCUUCAUGAAGAUGCAUGUCUAACAUGUACCUAGUUUCUUGAUGGCGAGAUGGAAGUGCUAUGUCGUGUACAAAGGGAAGGUUCCGGGGGUGUACGACGAGUGGCCUGAGUGUCAGGCACAAGUGAAUGGGUUCUCGGGCGCCAGCCAUAAAGGCUUCAAAAGCAGACAAGAAGGAGAAGCUAGUUACUUGAGGUUCACGCUAGAGCGAGAGAGGACUCGUAACCGCCGCCUCAUGUACUGUAUAGUUCCACUCUCACUCAUAGUGAUAGCUCUUCUCGCCUAUACCUUUGUUUAGAUGGAUAACAUUGUAGUUGCAAGUAUUCGAGACUUGCAUGUAUCGCUAUUUUCGAGAUGAUGACAACAUACCACUUUGUGUUGGAUGAUGAUUAUGAUGAGACUAUUUGUAUAUAUAUGCUAUGAUUACAUUUGUGGUCUCGCAGACAUUUGUAUGUGUAUCAUGAUGACAUUUGUAUGUGCUAAAGAUUCUUCUAUAAAGCCUAUUCAAAUACAAAACAAAUAUGCAGAAAAAAAACAAAAACUAUUAAAAUUAGCAGUAGCGAGUGGAGAAAAGUAAGCAACAGCGCGAUAGUAGCAGUAGCGCGCACAGGAGAAGCGCGCUAUAGCUAUUAGCAGUAGCGAGCUCCACCGAAGAACGUUGCUGCUACACUUGUAUAUCAGUAGCGCGGGCGCGCACGCGCUGCUGCUACGGGUUAGCUGUAGCACCUUAUUAGUAGCGCCGCCUCCCGCGCUACUGAUAUACCUAGAACCCGCGCUACUGCUAGGCUUUUCCCUAGUAGUGAAAUGAAUAAAAGAGGAUGUAUCUAUACAUCUAGAUACAUCCCCUUUUAUAUAUUUUGAUGACAAGUAUUUCCAGACGGAGGGGGUAUAUUUAUAUAAUUAACCACUAGCAACUAGGAACACAACCGCUAGAGUCGUGCUAUGCACAGGACAAAUUUUGAACGAUUCACACACGAAGAUUGAAUACUGCUGGACAUGCAUAUGAGUGAGAAGGGCACUAGCCGCUGGAUUUGCAUGUUGUGCACAGCUCGGCCACAAGUAUCGUUUGUGGAGCAGUUUCACAUUAGCUAAUGGCGCAUCAUACUAGUCCACGUUUCAACAGGGCAACCCUACAAAAUUGGUGUGCUACAUAUAUAAGACUUACAUACACAACAAUAGCAUGCAUUAUUCAAAAGAGCAACAUCCUAGUGUAAUCCUCCAGAGCGGGGAGCCUCUGCUCAUCGUCAUAGCCAUACAUGAUGCUGACCAUCCUUGCAAAGUUGAGAGACGCCCCGAUGAAGCUAGGUGGUAGUGUGGACUUUGUCUGAGAGAAGCAUUCCCUGUUUAGAUGCUCCCAUUCACCCGCUAUCAUAUCCAACAUGUGCUUCUCCGCAUCAGCAUGAGGGUUUUCUCUCUGGUACAAAUCCUUGUAUGAUCCGUCGAGCCCUUCCUGCAACUCAUCCUGCAUGGGACACAUAAUUUCUUUUCAGAUCAUGCCUAAUGUUGUCAAUGUGAACUUGAAUGCACACCCACCAGGAUAUGGUACGAAAUAACUCAUGUAAAUAAUUAGUAUUACUAAUAACAUAGUCGUGCGAUAAACUUCUCGGUGUGUUCUGACCUUUGCACUCCCCAUGUCAUCCCAGAGCCUCAUGAUCUUUGCAGGGCAGGAGAUGACCCUAAGGAUGUAGUCGUUGUUGUCCUCUGUCAAAUCAUGCCCAAGCAUGAAUAAAAGAUGCAUAAAUAAAAGUGGUGCUCCUGAAGUGAUGACACCAUUUCUUAGGUAGUCCUCCGAUGUAGGAACCUGAUUAGUAGAUAGCCAUUUUCCCUCGAUCAUGAAUCCAUCAAACAAAGUUGCCCACUGCAAGAAAAAAGGCAUGAAUGUAAUAUUAGUUCUUCCAUUGUUAUUUUCUUAUAUUUUAUUUCAUUACAAUUAAUCACAAAUUAUAUAGCACAUAGAAAUACGUGAGGUGGUACUAUUAAUAUAUUUAUUAGUUGCUUAGACAAAUGAAACUAAAGAAAAUGAAAAAACAUUCGAGUAAUCAUACUGCUUGCUUGAGAUGAUUGAUAGGAUUCAGUCCAUGCUCUUUUAUGACCAUAUCAGCGAUAUCAUUUGUGAUGGUGUAAAGAUCCUUGUAACAUGAUAUCAUGUAACUCGGCAGUGACUCAGCAGCUGCAAGAUCCCACCUGUCAAAAUAUGCACUUUGCACAUGAAACUUUUGUAAUAAAAAUUAUAUUAUGUGUUCAUGUAUAAGGUCGUGACUAACCAAUGAGUUUGAUUAUACCAUUAGCAAAAAUAUGCCAUUCUGGGCAUAAGCAGCCUUGAGUAUGCACUACUUUUUCUUUUUGUAUGAAUGAUUACAAAACUAUUAGUAUAUCAAGAUAUUUCUCGCAAAGGCCUAAUGUUUAUGUCAAACCAAUCCUAAUACCUCUUUAUACAUGAUGUGUCAAAAUUAUAGAAUUUUUAAUGUGCAAUUAGACAUAUCUAAGAUGUCAUUCAUUUACAAACAAAUGUAAUUAUACUUCAUUCCUAAAUUCAAUGUUGUUGUUAUUACGGGAACAUCAAUGCUCACAUUUUGAUUGCCUCAUUAAAGAGAGAGAGCUCCUCCUGUGUGGCGACAAGAUCAAAGAUGUCAUCCACAAUGUAGACCAUUGAGAUAACCUUUGUGGCCUCAACCCGAUAUCUUGAGAAGGAGAAACCCUCGAGGAUAGUCAUGGACCACAUGUACCAUUUCAGAACUUGGUCCCUUGCAGCUGGAAUUUCUUGAGAUAAUCCCAAAUCCACCCACCAUCUGUGUGAAAAUGAAGUUUUCAUAGUAAAAAACCACCACACCAUUAAUUGUGCCAAUACAUGAGCAAAAAAAUAUGUUAAUCUAUUAAUUCCAAGUGAGUUCUCUCUUAUCAAUAUGCAGGUGGGCCAAUGUCCGCAACAACUAAUAAUGGAAGGAGUGUAUUUUAUUAUAUUCAUACCUCUUAACCUCUUGCAUUUCACUUUGAUGUUGCAACUUCUUCAUCUGAAAUUCUACAAGUGCCAGCUUCUCAAUUGCAGUGUGCAUGGUAGGCAAGUUCUGGAGGUAACUCAAAUGAUGCCUAGCCUUGUAUUGCUUCAGGCUCACAUGGUAGGGAUGGUCUAGUGACUUCAUCACAUAUCUCGCAAGGUUAGGCUCCAAAUACUUAAGUGAAAAUUUCAGGUGCUUGCUUGAGAAUUCCUUUGCCUUGUAGAGUGAAGCUUCCCCCAUGUUGAGGUGUGACAUGUCAUGCAAGCUCAGCAACCCUCUAAGGUCUUUGCUAUGCCUAAGGUUGAAAUCACCAUUAUCGUUUGUGAACUUCUGAAGAACAUCGUCUGCCAUACACCGACAAGAAGGGGUCUUAGGUGCAUGUCAUACAUAAUGAAAACAAUACGUCUCAUGAUAGGUGCUUCUAUGCUACACAAGGGAUUGUUCUUUUUUAUUAUUGAACUUGGUUACUCUAAGGCUAAUUUAUUAUUAGCAAAAUUAUCACAUAAAAUCAUAAUUGACAAAGUUGCACUCAAGUUUCCAAACUGGUGUGUUUAUCCCAACACACUAAACUAGUAUUUUACUGACCUGCCGAAAUAUAAUAUCCAACUUCUCUCAUCAGCCUUAAGGAAAGGGUUGCGUCAAGUAGAUCAUCACUAUGGAGGAGAUCCACAGACGUCUCCAUUAUGUUAUCGAUUUCAUCCUGGAAAUAGUGGUCAAUGCAGAGGUGUUUGAGGUGAUCAACCGUGCUCAACAUUCCUUUGUUGCUUUUCGGAUGUUGAUGAAGCAACGCUUGAACAUUCAAUAGGCUUUCCUGGUAUUGCACAUAGAGCAAACUUCUUUUUAAAAAGAAUACAAAGUCUAGAUAAGUGCAAUAUAUAUCAUAUAUUAUUUGCAUUCAACAAUUGGCGAUAUCAUAGGAAAAUAGUGCAUCUAAUGUAGGUUUAUAUUUUAUUAACAUAGUUCAGAAAUUAACAAUAAAAGAUGAGAUAGAGAUUGAAAUUUUGCUCUUUCCAGAAACAUCAUUAAUUAUUUAAUGAAACACACAUUUUCUAUGUCUCGCUGGUUCCUGAAGAGGAGUCAUUAUUCAAAGUUAUUUUGAAAAGGCAAUCCAUGAAUUGCUAGACUGUGGUUAUAAAAUUCUUGAGGAAGGAUUAAAUUUUUGACUCGAUUUAUACGACAUCAAUUUAGGGACGGAGACAGUAUAAUUAGCCAGAAAAAGGCACACAAACAUGCUAAUUGCAUUCAAAGUACAUUCUAAUGUUGCGGUCUAUAUAUGUACCGUAAAAAUAUAUACCUGGAAGUCAAAAUCAUCGGACAGCUCAUGGGACACAGGCUCCCGCCCGGGAUAUAUCACCGGCGAAGGGCGAAAGAAGCCACUGUUUCGGCCACUCUGGUCACCACUUCUGGCCACCGGCAAAGCCGAAUGGAGCAAUGGUGCGAAGGAGGAGAAGGAGAAGCAUACAUGCGCAGCAGCCAUCACUAGCGUACUUAAAUAAUGUGGUGUGUUACAGCUGAUCGACUAGGCAGGCUACCUAAUUAAUUAGGUAACUAACUAGCGUGGAUGAUAUGGGAUGAACAAGAGUACGUAGCAGGCUGCUGCUUCUGCUAUGUCUU